UCAUUGCAGGAAACUCCACUGCUUGAUUGUGGGAAACGUGUUCAAAGGAACAAAACCAACUAUUAUCAAUUCAUUUACUAUGAUUAUAUUGACCCUUAGAAGGAUGAUGAAAAUAAAGGUGACAAUAGAGAUGAAACAAUCUGUCUAUAGCCUAUGUGGCAAGUAUACCUUUUUAUUGAGGUUCUACCAAGCCAAAGUGUUCUAUCCUGUGUCGAAACAUGUCUGACUAUGGAUUACUGGCAGGGCUCUCCAUCUCCCGGGAUCGCCACAUAGCAGAGAUAAGACAGAUCCAACAUCAUUUAAUAAUCUCCAUGCAUCUCCCUCAAGGGACCCCUGAGAGACAAAGAGCGAGCUGAAAUGGCCCUGUCCGGCUGAGCACACUGCUGCUGAGUGCACCCUCGGUCUCAGCCUUCCUCUACCCUGACUCCCCCCUCCCUCUCAUCUCUCGUUCUCACCACGAGAGCCGUGUUUUUUAGUGUGGGGGGGUGUAUCAAUAGUCUAAAGUGGCUUCCUUUCCUACCCAGUUCAUUCACCUCCCCCUUAUGAUACCAAUGAAAGGAGAUUGGGAAAGGAGAUAAGGAGAGAGGACUAUUUGGACACAACCUGAGCUCCCAUCUCUAAGAUCUCAAACUCCUUGUCCUCAUUUUGAAACCCCCCUUUUUAAAUAUUCAGUCUCUCUGACUGUGAAGUCUAAUUAGUAGUGGGAAAUGGGGAAAUGACUUCCGAAUAUUCUGACACCCUAUACUAAAAUUCUUACUAGAUAAUUGGUAGCUGUAUAAUCAAGUGGGAUGAAAACUUACAUGCAGUAUCUACAUUCCAAUUGAGUUCUACUGGAUGAAACAUAUUUGUCAGAGAGUGAUUAUUGUUUAAUUUUGAUAAGACCAUUAUUAAAGAGUUUUUGUUCAAAUAAAGACAUUCAGAUUUAGAGAUGACCUGUAGGAUAGGAAAGUAGCAGAGCUGCAUAUCACCACAAGUGGCCUACAGAAAU